rnacentral:rRNA from 1 species
GAUGAACGCUGGCGGCGUGCCUAAUACAUGCAAGUCGAGCGAACAGACGAUGAGCUUGCUGCUCUGACGUUAGCGGCGGACGUGUGAGUCACACGUGGAUACCCUACCUAUAAUACUGGUAUAACUUCGGAAAACCGGAUCUAAUACCGUAUAAUAUAUUGAACCGCAUUGGUCAAUAGUAAAAUUCGGCUUUGCUGUCACUUAUAGAUGCUUCCGCGCCGCAUUAGCUAGUUGGUAAGGUAACGGCUUACCAAGGCAACGAUGCGUAGCCGACGUGAGAGGGUGAUAGGCCACACUGGAACUGAGACACGGUCCAUAGUCCUACGGGAGGCAGCAGUAGGGAAUCUGCCGCAAUAGGCGAAAGUCUGACGGAGCAACGCCGCGUGGGUGAUGAAGGUCUUCGGAUCGUAAAACUCUGUUAUUAGGGAAGAACAAAUUUGUAAGUAAAUAUGCACGUCUUGACGGUACCUAAUCAGAAAGCCACGGCUAACUACGUG